rnacentral:sRNA from 1 species
CGCGCAUACGAACGCAUCAUAAUACGGUCGGACGAUUAUCGCAAUUCGCUAACACGGUCGCUCACUCUCUCUUUUUCUCAAAACCUUUCACACACAAACACACGGUCGUUGUUUGUUACAUCCUCAAUCCACGUUCAAUGGAGAACAAAGUAACACACAAGCAAACACCAGAACAACAACAACAAUAAAGCAAACAAAACCUAGGCUAAGCCAACCAACACAAAAACACUUAAAUACUCACACACACACACACGCAGACACAUACCGAUACAAAGACAUAAGAAAAUUGUAUGAAAAUAAACGGGCUUAAGGAUACGGAUACUAAAACAAAGGCAAACUUCAAAAUUGGUUCAAUUACGAAAGAGAAGAACACAGGAACCACUCUUUCAGCCAGACAGUCAACCAAACAAACAAAUAACCGACCAGCAGCAACAUAAAAAAGCUAAAGGAGGCCAAAAGUUAGGAAAAGAUAGAUAAACACACACAAACACAUACACACACGCCAACAUACGAGGUGUAAUAAAAAGUAAUGUAACAAAAUAACAACAAUAGCAAAAGGCAAGUGUAAUAAAAGAAGAAGAAAACAUAAAACGAGAAAUUCUAUUUUUGUGCGUGAGUGUGUAAAAGUUAGCCAAGUAAGUGCCAGUGUAUGUGUGCCCAUGUGCAUGGCUCACUGUCCUAUUUAGUACCCAUCGACGACCAAGUAGUGCUUCAGCUAGGCGACUAAAAGUUACCAUCGUCCAAAAUUCAUAGCUCCCGAACAGCAAACAGAAAACAGAAAAGUGAAAGUCCCCACCAUUACGGACCCAUGCGAAAAGGACUAAACGAACGAGUGCCCAAAGAGUAGAUGACGACGAAGAGAGAAAGCAAGAGCACAGAGAAUUGUUAUUAACCUGGUUAAAUGGUGCCAUUUCCGUCAAGGUACAUGAGGAGGUACUUGGACUCAUGCACAUGUAUGCAAGCCUAACUACUUGGCCAACGUCUGUGUAAACGGCGUCGCAUAUAUGUGCCAUUGCGUGUUUUCCAAUGUACGUGCGUGCGUGUGUGACUAACUAACUAUAAGGGCAGCAGCCACGAACUGGGCAAGGAAUACCAAAAAAAAAGUUCCUCAAAAAAAAAAAAAAAAAAAAAAAAAAAAACAAAGAGAAAUAAGGAGAAACGAGAAAUAAAGAAACAUGCAACACAAUUCGUUGCAAUUUUAAGCUCUACACUAAGCUAUUAUUACCCAACAAUAACAACAACAGCGCCACUAAGGCGGAUAAGUAAUAAAACUGCAACAUUAAGCAUACGCCAAAUUGGACUAGUGACCACUAGCGUAGCUGGUGCUGGUGCUGGUCCUCUGGCGCUCGUUGUGACCGACAAACGACAGCGUAAGCGUAAGUGACGACAACAACGACGACGCCGCUGUUCCCAACAAUCUCCAAUCCCCGCCCCAGGGGUAAUUAUUAUUAUUAGCGAAUAUUUUCAAUUCUUUUUUUGGAGUUGCCAGUGGUGGUAUUUUCACCUCCACAACUUGGGUAUACAUUCGAGGGAAUAUCAUCAGCUGCCGUUGACCAACUAACUUUCAUUUGGAUAUUAAAAAGGAUAUUUAACGCAAUCACUCAAGUGUAAGCCAUACAACCAGCAUACAACGAAUAUUGUGUUGGAGACGUUCAAAUAAAUCGAUUAGGAAUAACUUAGAUGUUUUAAAUUUGGGAUGAAUCUCAAUCAAAUACAGGAGACAUCCCUGACAGAGUUGGAUGCCAUAAACACCGGAGGUCCUGGAGAUUUUACCUUUAUUCGACUACAAGCCCAGGGAUCAUCGCCCACUCUCACUUUAAUCUCAUCUAAAAUCAGGAUAAUGAGGACAACUUUUUUUGUAAAUGUAUUUGUAAAUUAAAUAAAUGUUUGUGUGUGACAACUGAGACAGACCUCUCCCCGACAGUCGGUGUUAAGUCAAAAAAAUAAAAAUAAACUAAAAAAGAACAAAACACAAUUCCAAGCAACCAACCAAUCCAACAACUACCAAUUAACAACACACUAAACCAACAAUUGUCCAAAGGGCAAACUAAUAAAGCCAAAUCAAAUAAAUAGCAUAACAAAUAAAACCAAACCAAGCUAAGGGGAAAACAAAGCCAAACACAUGAACGCGAUACUUAGCAAAUAACAAACAAAAGUAAAUAAUUAAAUCAAUAUAAUUAUUUACCCUAAGAGAACAUUUGCAG